rnacentral:tRNA from 1 species
GGCUUCGUGGUCGAGUGGUAAGGACACUUGCCUCUCAUCCUGGAGUCCCGGGUUCGAAUCCUGAUCAAGGAGCUA